UACAGAGGUCCCAAGCGUUGUUCGGAUUCAUUGGGCGUAAAGGGUGCGUAGGCGGCCAUGUAGGUCCGUUGUGAAAACUCGAGGCUCAACCUCGAGACGCCGAUGGAAACCAUGUGGCUAGAGUCCGGAAGAGGAGAGUGGAAUUCCUGGUGUAGCGGUGAAAUGCGCAGAUAUCAGGAAGAACACCCGUGGCGAAGGCGGCUCUCUGGGACGGUACUGACGCUGAGACGCGAAAGCGUGGGGAGCGAACAGG
rnacentral:rRNA from 1 species